CCUACGGGAGGCAGCAGUGGGGAAUAUUGGGCAAUGGGCGCAAGCCUGACCCAGCAACGCCGCGUGAAGGAAGAAGGCUUUCGGGUUGUAAACUUCCUUUCUCAGAGACGAAGAAAGUGACGGUACCUGAGGAAUAAGCCACGGCUAACUACGUGCCAGUAGCCGCGGUAAUACGUAGGUGGCAAGCGUUAUCCGGAUUUACUGGGUGUAAAGGGCGUGUAGGCGGGGAGGCAAGUCAGAUGUGAAAAUCACGGGCUCAACCGGUGUCUUGCAUUUGAAACUGGUUUUCUUGAGUACUGGUGAGGCAGACGGAAUUCCUAGUGUAGCGGUGAAAUGCGUAGAUAUUAGGAGGAACACCAGUGGCGAAGGCGGUCUGCUGGACAGCAACUGACGCUGAGGCGCGAAAGUGUGGGGAGUAAACAGGAUUAGAUACCCCUGUAGUC
rnacentral:rRNA from 1 species